rnacentral:rRNA from 1 species
CCUACGGGUGGCAGCAGUGGGGAAUAUUGCACAAUGGGGGAAACUCUGAUGCAGCGACGCCGCGUGAGUGAAGAAGUAUCUCGGUACGUAAAGCUCUAUCAGCAGGGAAGAAAAUGACGGUACCUGACUAAGAAGCCCCGGCUAACUACGUUCCAGCAGCCGCGGUAAUACGUAGGGGGCAAGCGUUAUCCGGAUUUACUGGGUGUAAAGGGAGCGUAGAGGGCAGCACAAGUCUGUAGUGAAAUCCCGGGGCUUAACCCCGGAACUGCAUUGGAAACUGGGCGGCUGGAGUGCAGGAGGGGUGAGCGGAAUUCGUAGUGUAGCGGUGAAAUGCUUAGAUAUUAGGAGGAACACCGGUGGCGAAGGCGGCUUACUGGACUGUAACUGACAUUGAGGCUCGAAAGCGUGGGGAGCAAACAGGAUUAGAUACCCGGGUAGUC